ensembl:lncRNA
AUGAAGCAGGCCAGCCUCUUUUCUUAUCAUCAGGAAGUUGUCAGAUGUAAGGGAAGAGCAGUAAUGGGUCUUCUGUUGACUUUACAUCCUUGGAAAGUCCGCCUGGGCCUCACACCUGCUGUCUAUCUAGGCGUUUGGAAUCUCUGCAUUGAUAGACAGGAUGCAAGAUCUGGAAAGUAUGCAGGCGGCCGAAGACCCUUAAAGGUGCACUCUGUGCGUCGAGGAAAUGGUCAGGAAUGUCAGCAUUGUUUGAAUGCCCAUGCUGUUAAUCAUCAAUAUAAACACCUGUAUACUUAAUAUAAUUCACAGGGCCUUUUAUUAAAGGUUUUUUUCCUUGUUUUGACGGGACACUCAAAGCGGGAGAUCAUGAGGUCGCCUCUCCAUGAUAACCGGAGUGUAACACUCAUGGGUGGUUUUGGUUUAUGUAUUAAUUCAUUGCGGUCAGCUGACAGUGUGCUCUGAAGGGUAGUGUCACCGAGUGCACUGGCAGCUUGACAAGUGCCCCAUCUGACAGAGGCCAGACUGAAUGUCCUUGACAGUAGCAUAGCGCUGGCAGGAGUGCUUCAGUGGCAGCAGAAUACAUAAUUGGUGACACGAUGAGCAAAGAGGACACUUGACAGAAGUCCUGGGCUGGAGAGUGAAAGGCACACUGGCAGCCUUCACAAACUCAAAGACGUCUGAGCAGCUCAUGGUUGAUUGAGACUCGGUCUUGGUUUCUUGGUUCAAAGUACAGUUUAAUGGCUGUCAGCUAUAUGCUAUUAACCUCCUUAAAGGAUUUGUUUACUCAGUUAAAGUACGUCAUUAUUAGUUGAUUGACCCUCCCCAUUAGUGAACUAUUGCAGCUUAGUUUACAAAUUGUAUGAACCAGUGUUAUGAUGCUUUAGUCUGGAGCUUGAAAGCUUCUUGCAAGUUUUAGAAGGACGUUAUGACAGAAUUUUUACUUUUUGGGUCAACUGUCUCUUUAAAGAAAAAUGCAUCAAAAUAAUUACCAAGAGUUUGCAACUAAUAAUAUCUAUAAAUAUACUACAGUAUAGCUGAUAAUAUAUUAUCAAUCAUACUAGACCAACAUUUUGCUCAUGGUUUUGGAAAAACAAUCUCAUGGCAGUUUGUAACUAUUUUUUAUGAUAUGGCAAAUUAUUAAAGUUGUUCAAUGAAUUCAUAAAAACUCAUGUAUACAUUUCUGUACGACCUGCUUAUACCCCAUUAAGGGUUAGGUUUAGGAAUGGACCUUAAUGCUUAGUUUUGUUAUAAAAAAUUACAUUUUCGUAUAAAUCAAAUCAUACUAAUACAGAAUUUCCAACUCAUAAAUGCUUUUUUUGAUGAGAUGAGGUAAAAAAUAAUAAAAAAAAGAAAAUGUUCA